GAAAGGAGAAAUUAACGCAAUCAAGUUAGCUGGAGGUAUUUGUGCCAGCGUUUCAGCUAUUAUUGCCAUAAUUGCUGUGGCAAUCGUGUGUUUCAGGCGGCGAAAACUUCAACACAACACAAAAGGUUAUUCUGAUUUUUCGAAACCUACUAAGAUAGAGUCAAAAUUGAACAACAGGCUUGACAACAACGAUCGGGCUAAGAGUGACAAACAGAUCGCCGUCGACGAAAAAAUUCAAGUCGCAUCUAAAGAUGGCAGCAUCACAUUGACUGGUGCAGGAAAUGCAGGCCCAAGUGAUGACCACGAUUAUUACAGCUUCAAUGCACUUUUCCCGGGAAUAAAACUUCAUGAUCUCUGGGACUACAUUCACGAG